rnacentral:rRNA from 1 species
CCCUUAGAUGUUCUGGGCCGCACGCGCGCUACACUGACGAAUGCAACGAGCUUAUAACCUUGGCCGAAAGGUCUGGGUAAUCUCCAAAUUUCGUCGUGAUGGGGAUAGAUUAUUGCAAUUAUUAAUCUUCAACGAGGAAUGCCUAGUAAGCGCAAAUCAUCAGCUUGCGUUGAUUACGUCCCUGCCCUUUGUACACACCGCCCGUCGCUCCUACCGAUUGAAUGGUCCGGUGAAGCGUUCGGACCGUGGCCUUUGGACGGUUCGCCGUCUGUUGGCUGCGGGAAGUUCGUUAAACCUUAUCAUUUAGAGGAAGGAGAAGUCGUAACA